GAAAGAGAGAAGAUGAGAAUAAAGGAAGGAGAAAGGAGGAGAAGGUGAAAAUAAAGGAAGAGUUAAAGAGAAGAAUGAGAGGAGAGAAUAAGAGAAAUAGAGAAGGAGGAGUGAAGAGAGUCGUUGGAGGUGGGAUAACUUCGGGUCGUACCAUAGAAAACAAACAAAUGCCCGACUCUUCACCAGCCGAUCCUAUAGUUGCUACCAUAACCCAUCUUUCCUUUCGCCUGGCAUUACCGAGCCCUUGCUUCACAGUUUUCUUACCAUUGAACUCCACUUUCAACGUUGAAUACUGGAACUUCGCCUGACUGCAAAAGACACCUGUGCCACUCCCUUUGGUCACCACUCUCGUAGAUAAAUGAGAAUUGGUUGAAAAGACUGUUGCUCAUUGCUGAAAUAAACAUUUAUUACCAGGAAUGGCAACAGUUUUAGAGAAAUUGGACUGCUUAGAAAUACAUGAAGAUGUUGAUGCUGCAAACUUACUAAUCAUACCAGGAAGAUGUAUUAGUGACAGAAGGAAUCUUUUCCAGUUUGUGCAGCAUGAUUAAGUUAUGAAAAGAUUUUGUCUGUCUGAAGCAACAGCAUUUAUUAUGCCAGACAAACUGUAGAUGCAAGGAGUGGAUCACCAGUACCACCGCAUCUGGAACUAAUGAUAACCCUUCGAUGGAUAGCCACAGGCAGCUUGUAGUUAACUAUUGCAGACGAAUUUGAUGUGUUGCAGCAACUUGUGAGCAACUGCACUAUCAAAAUAAAAAAUGAUAAAUGCAAUGGUACUUGCAAUAAUGUAAAUUACACCCAAAGGAGAGAAAGUCUCAGCCAUAGAUCAUAAGAAUGUGACAGGAGUAUAUAUUUAAGUUGUGGGAAAAAGGAAUCUGGAAUCUUGCAUUUUAUGUAGAUUAACCACAAUUAAGACCUCUGUUAAUUCAUAGACAAAAGCUGAAGAAGAAAAUGGCAACAUAAGACCUGGGAUGAAAUGGAUGAUCCUGGUAUGAAAAUUAAGAGAAAGAAAGAGAGAGAGAGAGAGAGAGAGAGAUAAGAUAUUUAUGAAUCUUUCUUUUUUUUCUCCCAGUACAUUAUUUUUGCCAGAUGCAGAGUCAGUCUUUUGCUAGAUAUUUGUGUCCAAAUCCAGGCGAAACUCUCUUUUGCAUAUGGAAGAGUUCAAAGUUCUCGAUGAUAACACAGGAGUGAAGGAUCGGCAGGUGACAGUGUAGUUUUGUGGAAAGAUUUGCUUUCUUUCAUUAAUGCCAGCCAAAUUGUUGUUAGGCGAUCACCCGCAUUUACCAAAUAUUUAUGGUACGGCCCCAAGUGCUAAAUGUACGAAGAGUACCUGUUAUUAUUUUUUCACUUUUUAUUCCAUUAUUACUAUCUCUUUCCUGUUUUCAACAUACUCUUUUUUUUAAUUAGUGUAUAUUUAUAUUUUCUCUUCAUUCAAAUAUUGCUCUUUUAUCAAAUAAACAUGGUUAUAUAUUUUUUUCAAACUUGACUUUUUCUAUAAGUGUUUUCCUUUUGUGCAAUUGUAAUUCUUUCUUACAUCCACUUAAUAAUUCCUUUCUUCAAUAUGACUAUUACAGUAACUUUUUAAAGUCAAUCCUUUUCUAUUGUCAGCUAGUCCUCUCUGCUUCAUUUAGUCUCACUCAGAAUCUUUUCUUAAU
rnacentral:lncRNA from 1 species